CUUAUACCUGCCCAUCAGAAGAGCCAAGAAGUAUGUAAAUUAUACUCAGGCUACGCUUGUAGAAAUUCCUGCCUAAUUCUUUGCACUCCUCCCUCCACCUCCUCUGGAAUCGAGCAGAAGUCACACCUCCUCGCUGUAAUAGGUAAUCUGGCUCAAGUGCAUUGAAGAGCAUGCCAGGAACUUGAAGAGCUAGAGAGUCCUCACCUGGUCCGGUCUGUAGUUGCUGCCUGCCCACGACCUUUUCUCCUCUGGUCCCUCCUUUCUCUACGUAGAAAACCCAGAGACAGAACAAGCACCCAAGCUGCACUUCCCGGGAGCUGCCUCCAGGGGCGCCUGUGCAGAGCGGCCUCUCCUCCCGGCCCGCCCACUGACUGCGCAUCGGCAGACAAACCAUUACUAUCGCCAAAAGUCCCUAUCCACCAGAUGCCGCUGUUAGGGACGAGGCUGACAAGACAAGUGCCUCUGGGAAAAGACACGGGGCUGACAUUCAGAGUAGGACGUAAAGGAUUGAGAGGGAAAGUUUUCCUGAGCUCGAGACCUGUUUGUUUGGGAAUGGAGGCGUUGGGAGGCUGGCCAAGCCCCAGCCCUGGAUCCAGAGGAGUCACAGCCGAGAGCCGACCUCCGAGGCCACGUCCUUUCACCUCCUCGCUCCCUGGUCUCUGUGCAGCAAUUGUGGUCCGCCAGGUUCUGGCCAAUGUGUAGCCUCUCCAUGCUGAAAACGGCCCCUUGAAAAGUGGAGGGGAAGAGACCAGCCCCCAGCAGCGAACCCCAUAUAUACCGGGAGGUUUGGAAUCGCCUUUAUUGCCAGAUCAGUAUUGUUGCCCAUGACAGCUAAUGAGGUUGGACAGGCUUCUCCACACUGAGCUUUAUGGGGCCGGCUCCCUCCCCUGCAGAGCUCGCAAGCCCUGCCAGCUUUUGUGCACUGGAAUGUUCCAGCCCCACACCCCGCUUUGCUCCUCCAACACU
rnacentral:lncRNA from 1 species